UACGUAGGGUGCAAGCGUUAUCCGGAAUUAUUGGGCGUAAAGAGCUCGUAGGCGGCUUGUCGCGUCGGAUGUGAAAGCCCGGGGCUUAACUCCGGGUCUGCAUUCGAUACGGGCAGGCUAGAGUUCGGUAGGGGAGAUCGGAAUUCCUGGUGUAGCGGUGAAAUGCGCAGAUAUCAGGAGGAACACCGGUGGCGAAGGCGGAUCUCUGGGCCAUUACUGACGCUGAGGAGCGAAAGCGUGGGGAGCGAACAGG
rnacentral:rRNA from 1 species